rnacentral:lncRNA from 1 species
GAGGAGGGAUCGAGAGGAGAGAUAAGGAUGAUAGCAUGUUUUAGAGAGGAGGAGGAGGAGGUUGUGUUGGAAGAAGAGGAGGUGGUAGGAGUAGAUAGGGCUAUGGACCAAGUUAAAUAAAGAGGAGGAAUGAAGACACAGUAGGAUUUACCAUAUGUUUAGUUGGGGUCUUCAGAGGAAGGAUGGAUGGGAUUGGAAGAAUCGAUGAACCCCAUCCACCGUUUGGUUCAAAAAAUCUUAAGAAUAAUGGAUGAAAAAGAGAGAUUGCCUAUCCAUCUUGCCCAUCAAUUUGCAUUUUCCCAAAUUUGAAGAAUACAAGGAAGGAUGGAUGAAGCAUGUGAGGAAUAGGUUUCUACAUUGAUAAAAUUAACUCUCAUUAAUUUGUUGACAAAAUCCUAAUACUUUUUUACUUUUUUACUAGAAAAGAGAUCUACACUCUACCUUUUAUUUACUCCAAUGGCCACCCCUCUUCUCCUUAAUGCCACUAGCGCAUCACUGCCUCAA